UGGGGUAAUUUUCCGCAAUGGGCGAAAGCCUGACGGAGCAAUGCCGCGUGGAGGUGGAAGGCCUACGGGUCGUCAACUUCUUUUCUCGGAGAAGAAACAAUGACGGUAUCUGAGGAAUAAGCAUCGGCUAACUCUGCGCCAG
rnacentral:rRNA from 1 species